rnacentral:sRNA from 1 species
AGAGUAGCUGAAGGUUGCAGCACGGAAAUCAGUAGCAAGAGCGAUGGUCGGAUGUUGAAGAAGUAAGAAGUAAGGAUCGGGCACAAGUCAGAAAGUGUGCGAGCAGCCAUGGAGGCCAGGUGGAAUUCCGAGCGACUAUUUGAUACCCAACAUGUUAUCGCCGAUUGGAAUGGAGCGCCCGGAAUGGAGAUUUGACGACACUGUGUGACAGCAACAAGCCGAUUUGAUUUUCCUGGGACAACAGAGGCUAAGAGUUGGACAGAAAAAACGAAUUGCGAUGACGAUAGGCAAUGCUGCUGCAGCUGACUCAGCGCAGAUCUACCCUGGUAUACCCUCAAAAUGGCCAAAAAGGACGAGGACGAGAAUGAGAACGCUGCCGGAGCGAGGUAGUGGGCGGAAAGCACCAAAAAGUGGCAAAAAGCGCAAGCGAAAGUCAAAGCAAUUUGCCCUCUUUGCACUCUCCCCGACAUCAGGAAUGGCAUAUGGACUGCAUCUCCCAGGUAAUUGUCUCGAAAUGGGAUUCAAUCCCGCAAAAUAGCAACGUAUGCAGCGGAAUGCAUUGCAAUCGACAGGAUAAGAUACAGAUAGUAUGGCAACUGCAAGAGACUAGUGGGGAAACGUUGGGAGCUGUCCGAUAGAGGAGAUCUUUUACUAAAGAAGAAAGUAGAAUUAUUGUUAUGGAAUGUUAUUGAAAAAGGAACACCGAGUCUUGAUUGCUGAUUGAUUAUUCGACUUCCAUGCGGAACUCUUCCGGAAGAUAGAAGAUAGAAGAGGUGCUCUGAUGUAGGCUACAGGCAAAC